rnacentral:sRNA from 1 species
AAGGCAGAAACUGAGAUGAGACGAUGAGAGGAAGCCAUGGCGAGUGUCACUGCGGGGAAUGCAAGUGCCAUGCAGGUUACAUCGGGGACAACUGUAACUGCUCGACAGACAUCAGCACAUGCCGGGGCAGAGAUGGCCAGAUCUGCAGCGAGCGUGGGCACUGUCUCUGUGGGCAGUGCCAAUGCACGGAGCCGGGGGCCUUUGGGGAGAUGUGUGAGAAGUGCCCCACCUGCCCGGAUGCAUGCAGCACCAAGAGAGAUUGCGUCGAGUGCCUGCUGCUCCACUCUGGGAAACCUGACAACCAGACCUGCCACAGCCUAUGCAGGGAUGAGGUGAUCACAUGGGUGGACACCAUCGUGAAAGAUGACCAGGAGGCUGUGCUAUGUUUCUACAAAACCGCCAAGGACUGCGUCAUGAUGUUCACCUAUGUGGAGCUCCCCAGUGGGAAGUCCAACCUGACCGUCCUCAGGGAGCCAGAGUGUGGAAACACCCCCAACGCCAUGACCAUCCUCCUGGCUGUGGUCGGUAGCAUCCUCCUUGUUGGGCUUGCACUCCUGGCUAUCUGGAAGCUGCUUGUC